CUACGUCGUUGGUCUAAAUUUCGCUUCAAAAAGAAGAGUGAGAGAGUUUUAAAAACCUGCGAGAGCGAAGGGGAGGAAAGAGAGUAGUGAGGCAGCGUCGGAGGAGAAGAGGAGAUAUGGCAGCGGCUGCUCCGGCGAAAUGUUUUCUCGUUACCGGUCCUCCGGGCGUAGGGAAGACGACACUCAUAAUUCGAGUGUUGGAGAGCCUAAAAACUGCUUACCCAAACUUGAAGGUUCAAGGUUUCUAUACUCGUGAAAUAAGAGAAGGAAGUGACAGAGUAGGCUUUGAAGUGGUGACGCUCGAUGGACGUACUGGUCCUCUCGCUUCCAACAAAAUCUCCAGCGCUGAGUCUCUUAGAUGGCCUACCGUAGGGAGGUACAGAGUAGAUGUGGCUUCCUUUGAAUCACUAGCGUUGCCAGAGUUGCAGGUCAAGGAAGAUACUGAACUUUUUAUCAUUGAUGAAGUUGGUAAGAUGGAGCUGUGCAGUUCUUUUUUCUUUCCUGCUGUACUAAGAGUCCUGCAAUCAAAUAUUCCACUCUUGGCUUCUAUUCCCAUACCAAAAUCUGGCAGAGAUAUACCUGGAGUUGCAAGGUUGAGAAAUGAACCUGGUGCUACUGUUUUUACGUUGAGUAAAAAUAACAGAGAUGCCAUGAAAGAGCAGAUCUAUUCCCAUCUGACAGACUUGCUGCCUAAGCUGUAGAUGUCUUGACAUUACGCUAAGAAACCUUUUAGAACAGUUUGCAUUCAAUUGAAAGGGCAAUUACAGAAGUGAAACACUUGAGCUUGGGUAUAGGAAAGCCUUUGUCAGUUUGAAUCAGAAAUGGGAGAGGUUGAGGCAGUAUAUGAAUGACGGCAAUAUCAGCAGGAACUUGACCUGAAUUCCCUGUAGGAAGGUUAGUCAUCAGGAUUUGUGCAUAAUAGAUGCUGUUGCAUCUUCUCUCACUACAAGGUAUUGUUAAUUCCUCUACGUAGCCGAAUAAAUUAAUUGUUGAUUACUUUGUUUUCCCACUCUCAGGUAGUCUUUUUCCUCCAUUGCUCAAUCUCAAAUAUUCAUAACCACAAAACCAAAAAAAAAAAAAAAUUGACUAUAA